AGGCAGCAGUGGGGAAUUUUGGACAAUGGGCGCAAGCCUGAUCCAGCCAUGCCGCGUGCGGGAAGAAGGCCUUCGGGUUGUAAACCGCUUUUGUCAGGGAAGAAACGUUCUGGGCUAAUACCCUGGGAUAAUGACGGUACCUGAAGAAUAAGCACCGGCUAACUACGUGCCAGCAGCCGCGGUAAUACGUAGGGUGCAAGCGUUAAUCGGAAUUACUGGGCGUAAAGCGUGCGCAGGCGGUCUUGCAAGACAGAUGUGAAAUCCCCGGGCUUAACCUGGGAACUGCAUUUGUGACUGCAAGGCUGGAGUGCGGCAGAGGGGGAUGGAAUUCCGCGUGUAGCAGUGAAAUGCGUAGAUAUGCGGAGGAACACCGAUGGCGAAGGCAAUCCCCUGGGCCUGCACUGACGCUCAUGCACGAAAGCGUGGGGAGCAAACAGGAUUAGAUACCCUGGUAG
rnacentral:rRNA from 1 species